rnacentral:rRNA from 1 species
UACGUAGGGGGCGAGCGUUGUCCGAAGUUACUGGGCGUAAAGCGCGUGUAGGCGGGUCUUUAAGUGAGGGGUGAAAGGUUCAGGGCUCAACCCGGACACUGCCUUUCAUACUGGAGAUCUUGAGUGCGGGAGGGGCGAGUGGAAUGGUCGGUGUAGCGGUGAAAUGCGUAGAUAUCGAUCGGAACACCCAUGGCGAAGGCAGCUCGCUGGCCUGUAACUGACGCUGAGACGCGAAAGCGUGGGGAGCAAACAGG